GUGACACAGGUGGCACCCAGGUGGCACCCAGGUGUCCCAGGUGCCCCAGGUGCCCCAGGUGACAUACAGGUGACACAGGUGGCACCCAGGUGUCCCAGGUGUCCCAGGUGCCCCAGGUGGCACACAGGUGGCACCCAGGUGUCCCAGGUGCCCCAAGUGUCCCAGGUGCCCCAGGUGUCCCAGCUGGCACUCAGGUGACACACAGGUGGCACACAGGUGAUACAGGUGGCACACAGGUGUCCCAGGUGUCCCAGGUGCCCCAGGUGUCCCAGGUGGCACCCAGGUGCCCCAGGUGCCCCAGGUGGCACACGGGUGACACAGAGGGGACACCCAGGUGUCCCAGGUGCCCCAGGUGUCCCAGGUGACACACAGGUGGCACACAGGUGUCUCAGGUGACACACAGGUGACAUACAGGUGGCACCCAGGUGUCCCAGGUGCCCCAAGUGUCCCAGGUGCCCCAGGUGUCCCAGCUGGCACUCAGGUGACACACAGGUGGCACACAGGUGAUACAGGUGGCACACAGGUGGCACCCAGGUGUCCCAGGUGUCCCACAGGUGGCACACAGGUGGCACCCAGGUGACACCCAGGUGUCCCAGGUGUCCCAGGUGACACACAGGUGACACACGGGUGUCCCGGGUGACACACAGGUGA